rnacentral:rRNA from 1 species
GACGAACGCUGGCGGCGUGCUUAACACAUGCAAGUCGAACGGAAAGGCCUGCUUUCCCUUGUGGAUUGCGGGUACUCGAGUGGCGAACGGGUGAGUAACACGUGAGUGAUCUGCCCCCAACUUGGGUAUAAGCCUGGGUAACUGGGUCUAAUUCCCGAUAGGACUGCAGGGUGGUUCCUGUGGUGGAAAACGAUUUUCUAGUGGUUGUGGAUGAGCUCGCGGCCUAUCAGCUUGUUGGUUGGGUAAUGGCCUACCACGGGGGCGACGGGUAGCCGGCCUGGGAGGGUGGACGGACACAUUGGGACUGAGAUACGGCCCAGACUCCUACGGGAGGCAGCAGUGGGACGUCUUGCCACAGGAGCGGGAGCCUGAGGCAGCGACGCCGCGUGGGGGAUGACGGCCUUCGGGUUGUAAACUCCUUUCGACCGCGAGGAAGCCACCUGGUUGGAAGGGUGGUGACGGUAGUGGUAGAAGAAGCACCGGCUCCCUACGUG